AGUGAACGCUGGCGGUAGGCCUAACACAUGCAAGUCGAACGGCAGCACAGAGGAGCUUGCUCCUUGGGUGGCGAGUGGCGGACGGGUGAGGAAUACAUCGGAAUCUACUCUGUCGUGGGGGAUAACGUAGGGAAACUUACGCUAAUACCGCAUACGACCUACGGGUGAAAGCAGGGGAUCUUCGGACCUUGCGCGAUUGAAUGAGCCGAUGUCGGAUUAGCUAGUUGGCGGGGUAAAGGCCCACCAGGGCGACGAUCCGUAGCUGGUCUGCGAGGAUGAUCCGCCACACGGGAACUGAGACACGGUCCAGGCUCCUACGGGAGGCAGCAGUGGGGAAUAUUGGACAAUGGGCGCAAGCCUGAUCCAGCCAUACCGCGUGGGUGAAGAAGGCCUUCGGGUUGUAAAGCCCUUUUGUUGGGAAAGAAAUCCAUCUGGUUAAUACCCGGGUGGGAUGACGGUACCCAAAGAAUAAGCACCGGCUAACUUCGUGCCAGCCGCCGCCGUAA
rnacentral:rRNA from 1 species